UUAAUAAAAAUGGUUUUAUGAAAAGAAUUUUAGAGGUAUAAAAGUAAGAGUAGUGUUAACGAAAAGAAAGUUUAACUAUAGAAAAUUAGUACAGAGAUGGAAAUUGUUGAAAAAUAUAUUGAAAAAUUAUAUAAAAGGAUAGUACUUUUUAUUAAAGGUACCUUUUGUAUUAGUGGUUAUCAAAUUUAUGUUAGAAAAUUUUUUCUCGAAAGUAAAAGAUCUAAGUUAGUUUGUUAGUUUUUGUGGCAAAAAAAUUGAGAAAAUUGAUUUAGGUAUGAAAUGUUUGUCGUUUUUACUAAUAUCUAGUAAUUUCAGAAAUAAGUUUAGUUUAGAUUUUUGAGGGGUUUUUUAAUUUUAAGAGAUUUUUGAUAAGAUCUUAUAUUUUAGGGGAUGAGCUCUAAAAUAAAUUUAAAAGGAAAUAAAGGAUUAAGUUUUAAAUAGGCUUAGAAUUGGUCAUAAGAUAGUGUUAUAAGAUAAAAAUUUAAGGUUAUGAUUUAUUUUUCUUUGAAAUUUAUGAAAUUAAAUAUGAAAUGAAGAUAAGAUUGAGAAUAUGAUAGCAUGAGUAGAUGAGAGAAGAUUUGGAUAAAAAUUUGAAUUUUACAUAGAAAUAGGAAAAAAAAAUUGUAACAAAAGAGCUCGGCAAAAAAGAUUUCCGAAUGUUUAGCAAAAACAUUUCCUCCUAGUUAGGGGAGGUAAGGCCUGCUCACUGAAAUUUAAAGAGCCGCAGUAUCCUGACUGUGCUAAGGUAGCAUAAUCAUUAGUCUUUUAAUUGGAGACUGGUAUGAAUGGUUAAACGAGAAAUCGACUUUUUUUGUUAUAAUAAUUGAAUUUAAUUUUUUAGUGAAAAAGCUAAAAUAUUUCAGAAAGACGAGAAGACCCUAUAGAGUUUUAUAUUUUAGGAAAUUUUUUUUUAUUAGAUUUUUUUGAAUAAAAUUUUUGAUAGUAUUUUGUUGGGGCGACAUUAAGAUAAAAGAAACUCUUUAUUUUUAAAACUUUUUUGAAAGAAUUGUUUGAUCCUUUAAAAAAGAUCAAAAGAAAAAAUUACCUUAGGGAUAACAGCGUAAUCUUUUUUGAGAGUUCUAAUCGACAAAAAGGUUUGCGACCUCGAUGUUGGACUAAAAUUUAGGCAGGGUGCAGUAGUUCUGUUUUUAGGUCUGUUCGACCUAUAAUAUUUUACACGAUCUGAGUUCAGACCGGCGUAAGCCAGGUUGGUUUCUAUCUUCUGAUUUUGUUGUAUCAGCUUAGUACGAAAGGAUUGGUUGAUAAUAAAAAUUAUGAAAGAAGAAUAUUAUUAAAAUAAAUU
rnacentral:rRNA from 1 species